rnacentral:lncRNA from 1 species
CAGAUCUACCUGAAUGAAUCUGACCAAAUAAAGACAAACCCUAAUUUUUGCUUUUGAUCCUUCAAAUUGAUUUUUGUUUGUUGUUACUGGACUCGCAAUCUGCAAAAUAGAAAGAAAAAUCUGGUCAAAAUCUAAAGAGAACCGAAUCGAUCGAAAAAAAACUCGUAAAAGUUUCUUUUUUGUUAUUGUUGAUGACGAGAUUUUGACGAGAAAUUGACGAUCUCAAACUGAAGAUGAGCAUGUACAAAUCAAUUGUGUAUCAAAGGGAAGAGGUGUUGGGAUAUGUGGAGAUUUAUCCACGACAACAACAGCAGCUUAAGGAAGAAGAAAUGAAGGAAAUCAGGAUAGAAUAUUUGACGCAAAGCAGUGAGAGAUGUCCUCCAUUGGCAGUGCUUCAUACCAUUACUUGUAAUGGGAUUUGCUUCAAAAUGGAACCAUCAAAGGACAGCAGCUACUCUGCUUCUGAAGAUAUGCCUCGGCUUCAUCUUUUGCACUCUGAAUGUAUCAGAAACAACAAGGUAUAGC